GCAUUCAUCAAAACAGUAGUCCUAUAAGAUGCAUAAAACGCACCAAAACCCUCUUCUCUCAAAACCCUCUUCACACAAUCCCAUACCCCCUUAUAAGUAUUAUUCCCCAAUUGUAAUCUCUGCUUCACCAUAUCCAUCGGCGUAAAAACAGCAUCACUGCACACCGUAGCACAAACACCAGAUACAGCGUGAGCUAUUGAAUUGUUUGGAUUGCUACCAGAUAAAUACUUCUUACAGACUUCGUAAACCGAGAAAUACACUGCAUGGGCGGGACCGGCGCCGAGACCCAUGGCGGCAAUACCACGGUACAAGGCACUAGGACCUUCAGAUUGGAGUAUAGAACGGACAGCGUGGGUGACACUGACAGAUUUAAUGGGGCAAGAACCGAGAGCCUGCAUGUGGGUCUUGAUUGUGUCGACUGGAAACAUGGCCAUGUGCUCGACUGAACCCGCAAUGGAACCAGCGAUCAUGAACUGCCAAAAAUGGAGGCCGUCGUGGGCCAUUACCGCGAUAUCGGGAUGAAAAUCGGCGCGGAAAUCAGGAUUUUGGAAUUUGGUGGUGGUGGUGGCGGCUUCUGCGGCC
rnacentral:misc_RNA from 1 species